CUACUAUGUUCAGAGUUUGAUCCUGGCUCAGGAUGAACGCUGGCUGUGUGCCUAAUACAUGCAUGUCGAGCGAAGUGAUUUAUCACUUAGCGGCGAACGGGUGAGUAACACGUAAAGAACCUGCCUCAUAGACUGGGACAACUACUGGAAACGGUAGCUAAUACCGGAUAAUAUUUAAAAUCGCAUGGAGAUAAAUUAAAAGUCGGUGCAAGCUGACACUAUGAGAUGGCUUUGCGGUGCAUUAGCUAGUUGGUAGGGUAAAGGCCUACCAAGGCGACGAUGCAUAGCCGACCUGAGAGGGUGAUCGGCCACACUGGGACUGAGACACGGCCCAG
rnacentral:rRNA from 1 species